rnacentral:rRNA from 2 species
UGGGGAUUAUUGCACAAUGGAGGGAACUCUGAUGCAGCGACGCCGCGUGAACGAAGAAGGCUUUCGAGUCGUAAAGUUCUUUUAUAUGGGAAGAUAAUGACGGUACCAUAAGAAAAAGCCCCGGCUAACUACGUGCCAGCAGCCGCGGUAAUACGUAGGGGGCUAGCGUUGUCCGGAAUCACUGGGCGUAAAGGGUUCGCAGGCGGAAAUGCAAGUCAGGUGUAAAAGGCAGUAGCUUAACUACUGUAAGCAUUUGAAACUGCAUAUCUUGAGAAGAGUAGAGGUAAGUGGAAUUUUUAGUGUAGCGGUGAAAUGCGUAGAUAUUAAAAAGAAUACCGGUGGCGAAGGCGACUUACUGGGCUCAUUCUGACGCUGAGGAACGAAAGCGUGGGUAGCAAACAGG